GCGUUUCCAUGGUAACGAUAGGCCGCGCUUGAGGAUGGAAACUACUGCAAGUUUUGUUACCUCCUCAAACUGCGAGAAAUGAAGAGAAAAUCUUACCUAUCAGAACAUGGCUGCACACGUCUGUAAUCCCAACAUUUGUGAGAUGAAGGCAGCAGGAUCAGGAAUUCGAGGCCAGCCUUGAGAACGUGUCUCAAGAGAAAUAACAAAAGUGAAAAUACGAGCUACCUUUAAGCUGCAUGACGUCAUCUCUUCCCGAGUGUGCCUUUGCCGCGUGUCCACCUUAAACGGUAACCUUGCCCUCGGGAGCUCUCAAUCCCUUACUGAGCUCUACCCUGCCCGCCUCCUUUGAUAAAAAUGAAAAAUAAAUGUCUUCAUCUACAGUUCUGAGGCAAGAGAGACUCCCAGAGGUGAACUUCCUUCAUUCCCUCUAGCUGCUACCAAAGUAUCCACCUGCAACUGAAGUCUUCCUUUUCCUGUCCUGAAAAGAAACGUUUUGUCCUCUCAGGCUAAUCCUGGCCCUGGAAUUAAGGCAUCACCCUUCUUAUCCAUUUUGAGACUCACCCGCUUUUUUAAAAAAAAUGAAUGCAACCCCUCAUCUUUCUCCUCAAUAAAAUAAGUCUCUGUGGUUUUGUUUUUAGUUA
rnacentral:lncRNA from 1 species